rnacentral:rRNA from 1 species
UGGGGAAUAUUGCACAAUGGGCGCAAGCCUGAUGCAGCCAUGCCGCGUGUGUGAAGAAGGCCUUGGGUUGUAAAGCACUUUCAGCGGGGAGGAAGGCGAUAAGGUUAAUAACCUUGUCGAUUGACGUUACCCGCAGAAGAAGCACCGGCUAACUCCGUGCCAGCAGC